rnacentral:rRNA from 1 species
GAUGAACGCUGGCGGCGUGCCUAAUACAUGCAAGUCGAGCGAACAGACGAGGAGCUUGCUCCUCUGACGUUAGCGGCGGACGGGUGAGUAACACGUGGAUAACCUACCUAUAAGACUGGGAUAACUUCGGGAAACCGGAGCUAAUACCGGAUAAUAUAUUGAACCGCAUGGUUCAAUAGUGAAAGACGGUUUUGCUGUCACUUAUAGAUGGAUCCGCGCCGCAUUAGCUAGUUGGUAAGGUAACGGCUUACCAAGGCGACGAUGCGUAGCCGACCUGAGAGGGUGAUCGGCCACACUGGAACUGAGACACGGUCCAGACUCCUACGGGAGGCAGCAGUAGGGAAUCUUCCGCAAAGGGCGAAAGCCUGACGGAGCAACGCCGCGUGAGUGAUGAAGGUCUUCGGAUCGUAAAACUCUGUUAUUGGGGAAGAACAAAUGUGUAAGUAACUAUGCACGUCUUGACGGUACCUAAUCAGAAAGCCACGGCUAACUACGUG